AGAGUUUGAUCCUGGCUCAGAACGAACGCUGGCGGCAGGCUUAACACAUGCAAGUCGAACGCCCCGCAAGGGGAGUGGCAGACGGGUGAGUAACGCGUGGGAACAUACCCUUUCCUGCGGAAUAGCUCCGGGAAACUGGAAUUAAUACCGCAUACGCCCUACGGGGGAAAGAUUUAUCGGGGAAGGAUUGGCCCGCGUUGGAUUAGCUAGUUGGUGGGGUAAAGGCCUACCAAGGCGACGAUCCAUAGCUGGUCUGAGAGGAUGAUCAGCCACAUUGGGACUGAGACACGGCCCAAACUCCUACGGGAGGCAGCAGUGGGGAAUAUUGGACAAUGGGCGCAAGCCUGAUCCAGCCAUGCCGCGUGAGUGAUGAAGGCCCUAGGGUUGUAAAGCUCUUUCACCGAUGAAGAUAAUGACGGUAGUCGGAGAAGAAGCCCCGGCUAACUUCGUGCCAGCAGCCGCGGUAAUACGAAGGGGGCUAGCGUUGUUCGGAAUUACUGGGCGUAAAGCGCACGUAGGCGGGUAUUUAAGUCAGGGGUGAAAUCCCGGAGCUCAACUCCGGAACUGCCUUUGAUACUGGGUACCUAGAGUAUGGAAGAGGUAAGUGGAAUUCCGAGUGUAGAGGUGAAAUUCGUAGAUAUUCGGAGGAACACCAGUGGCGAAGGCGGCUUACUGGUCCAUUACUGACGCUGAGGUGCGA
rnacentral:rRNA from 1 species